rnacentral:lncRNA from 1 species
AAUUUGAGAAUGGUGAAACUAACAACAGACGAGACAGUGAAACAGCAGAUUAUAAACAUCUGUCCAGUAUACAGAUUAAGCUAAGAUUUCUAUUUAUAGAUCUUUAUACCUUAUCACUUUUUGUAUGUUCCUAUAAUAGUGUUUGAUCCAGAAAUAUUUAUAAGAAUUCCAAAUCUCCCGCAUAUAUAUGUUACUACUGUAAGACCAUACUUAAAACUGCAACU